AUGAAGGAGGAGGAAGAAACAAUAGUAACGUGGUCUCGAACAUCUAGCAUUCUACCCACAACGUUUGGCCAUACAAUCGCGAUUCAUAAUGGAAAGGAACAUAUACCUAUUUACAUAACAAAUCCUAUGGUAGAUCACAAAUUGGCGGAAUUCGUGCCUACUCGGCAUUUCACAAGUUAUGAAAAUUCAAGAAAGGAUACUAAAUCUCGUUGUUAA
rnacentral:rRNA from 1 species